UACGAAGGGGGCUAGCGUUGUUCGGAAUUACUGGGCGUAAAGCGCACGUAGGCGGACAUUUAAGUCAGGGGUGAAAUCCCAGAGCUCAACUCUGGAACUGCCUUUGAUACUGGGUGUCUUGAGUAUGGAAGAGGCGAGUGGAAUUCCUGGUGUAGCGGUGAAAUGCGCAGAUAUCAGGAGGAACACCGGUGGGCGAAGGCGG
rnacentral:rRNA from 1 species